CACGUAGGGCGCAAGCGUUGUCCGGAAUUAUUGGGCGUAAAGAGCUCGUAGGCGGCCGUUCGCGUCGGAUGUGAAAGCUCAGGCUCAACUCUGAGACGCCAUUCGAUACGGGACGGCUAGAGGUAGGUAGGGGAAAGUGGAAUUCCUGGUGUAGCGGUGAAAUGCGCAGAUAUCAGGAGGAACACCGGUGGCGAAGGCGGCUUUCUGGGCCUUACCUGACGCUGAGGAGCGAAAGCUGGGGGAGCGAACGGG
rnacentral:rRNA from 1 species